AAGGGCACCACAAGAACGCGUGGAGCAUGUGGCUUAAUUUGACUCAACGCGGGAAAUCUUACCGGGUCCGGACACACUGAGGAUUGACAGGCAAUAUUAUAAUUUUUUAAUUGAAAUAAAUUUUUAUUAAUUUAUUUUUUUUAUUUUUUAUAUGUUAAAUAUGCUAGUCCUUUCAUGAUUAUGUGAUAGGUGGUGCAUGGCCGUUCUUAGUUCGUGGAGUGAUCUGUCUGCUUAAUUGCGUUUCACUAUUGGGCUUAUAUAAUUACGUAUGUUGUUAACGCUUUGACCCCUUUCUACGGAUUGUGCGUGUCUUUGUCUCGUUUAACUCAUACAAUUAAGCCCUGGAAGCAACGAACGUGACCGCAACCUCUUGUUGCUCUCAUAUUACCUUAUACUGCAUAAUAUUUGAAUAAUUUAUUUUAUUUUUUUUUAUGUUUAAGAGAGCUUUCUAAACUAGAGGGACCGCUGUUACUUUCUUAAACCAGAGGAAGGUUGCGGCAAUAACAGGUCUGUGAUGCCCUUAGAUGUUCCGGGCUGCACACGUGCUACAAUGAUUAUUGCAGUGAGCAUCUCAUUUUUUACACAUCGCAUGCGCGAGUCCAUUUAUUCAGAUAUCUUUCAUUUACUUUCGGGUGAAUGUAGUGUUUGCUUUAAAUGUGUAUCUCUGCGCGCGAUAAAGCCUGCUUCGAAAGUAAGUGGGUAAUCAAUUAGAAGUAAUGAUUUCCUUUUUUUUUCUGCACACAUAUAUAUGGCACUUAUACCCGGGUAACCUUGUUGUUACUUUUGUGCGUAUACGUGAUAAUCUUUACCGAUUAUACUACCAUAUGUGCAAUUGUCAAUUCAUGGUGGGGACAGACCAUUGUUAAUUGUUGGUCUCGGUCUUAACUAGGAAUGCCUUGUACGGAUCUUUGGUUCAACAAACCAUCCGGAAUACGUCCCUGCCCUUUGUACACACCGCCCGUC
rnacentral:rRNA from 1 species